UACGGGGGGGGCAAGCGUUGUUCGGAAUUACUGGGCGUAAAGGGCGAGUAGGCGGCCUUCUAAGUCAGACGUGAAAUCCCCCGGCUUAACCUGGGAACUGCGUCUGAUACUGGGAGGCUAGAGUAUGGGAGAGGGAUGUAGAAUUCCAGGUGUAGCGGUGAAAUGCGUAGAUAUCGUAAGGAAGACCAGUGGCGAAGGCGGGUCUCUGGACAGUUCCUGACGCUGAGGCACGAAGGCCAGGGGAGCAAACGGG
rnacentral:rRNA from 1 species